rnacentral:rRNA from 1 species
UACAGAGGUCUCAAGCGUUGUCCGGAAUCAUUGGGCGUAAAGGGCGCGUAGGUGGCCCGGUCAGUCUUUGGUGAAAGCGCGGGGCUCAACCCUGCGUCGGCCAGGGAUACUGCCGCGGCUCGAGCACUGUAGAGGCAGGCGGAAUUCCGGGUGUAGUGGUGAAAUGCGUAGAGAUCCGGAGGAACCCCAGAGGCGAAGGCGGCGCUCUGGCUCGCAGCUGACGCUCAGACACGACAGCAUGGGGAGCGAACGGG